GUGGACAUUUAUGAAGACGAUCAGCCUGCAAAGAAACUGGGUUUUGAUGCAAUGACACCGAAGAAGAAUCAAAUAUGCAGCCCAAUGAAAGAUUCUCCGAAGACGGACAGUGGAAGUGUAGAGAUCAUUUCAUAUGGACAGUAUUUUAGUCCAUUCAAAUCUGAAAUGCAUAGGGAGGUUAUUGAACAGA